ensembl:lncRNA
AGAGAUAAAGGACCUGGGAUACGAGGAAGUCAAGGAAUUUUCUGCAGGCUGCUAUGACUUCAGUGCUACGGAGCGGGUAAAUAAAUUUUCUGCCUCAUGACUCCUUCCCUUCUUCCUUCUUCAAAUGCUCAAAUCUGCUGUAGUCUCAUCCUAUGCGUUUGUGCUGAUUUGCUGAUUUACAUAUCUCCACUGGUGAAAAUCAUAUCUGUUUCUUAGGCCCAAUUUUCAAGUUCCAAGCAUUGGCAGUGUGACCACAAAUCUCUACGAUCUGAUGCUUUAUUUGAUUUUUGUGUGUUUGUUUUAAUGGAAGUGUAGAAAAGGAGGGAAGAAGGGAGGGGAAUAUUUGAUUUGCUGUCUAGCCAACACAAUUCUAAAAAGCAUUAAGCGGAAACUGCUACAAGUGUUUAUUUUCUAACUCUUUCUUGUAUAAUGGGAACAGUCAAGAUCUGAACGAGAGUCGAUAUAAGAGUUGUGGUUUAUGAUAAGCAUAUCAGCCAGUGGAUAGACUAAACCCCAGUGACAGCUGUGAUGGUUCUUGGAAUCAGACAUCCUUCAAUAACGUGUUUCCCCAAAGCUUAUAGACACUGUUGUAGAAUAGGGUCAAGGCUUAUGGCAGAUGUUGAAUGUCUCUGAGCUACGUGAAAUUUCUCUCUGUGGAUAUGUGCCUAACAACCAUUACAUCAAACCACAGGUACGACGAAGCCCAUUUUCCUCUUUGACAUGAUACUGUUGUUAUUCUAGAGGCAAAGCCUUAUGCUGUUGCUAGCUGAAAAAGACACUAAAAGCUGAAAGAGUGCAGGCACAGAAUUGGGAACAAUUGGGCUAUACUGACCAUGAAAAUGUAAAGCAAUGAUUUUACCCAGCACAAACCACGUAGCUCACUACAGUAUGGUGUCUUGUAACAAGGACACCUAAAAUAACAAUGAUCAUUGCUUAAAAAGUUAAUUUUGUGGAAAUUCUUAUAAUGUUAACAUAUUUCAUAGAUAUGAUUCUACCCAACUGUAACCUUUGUUAUGAUAGCAAAUGACCAUUUUUUUCAUAGAAAAAGAAAACCUGACUGCUUAAUUGAUUGAUUAAUUAAAAGAAAUCUUGUAAUUGAGCAAUCAGGCCAGGUUUACUAUGAGUGUCUGAUGAAAGAAAGAUGAUAAACAGCAACUGGUCAGAUGGCUUCCAAAUAUCAGUGAACGUCCAUAGUACCUAUUGAACUACUUGUAGUUCAUCAAGAAAUACUGGAUGGAUAGAAAUUCUCUUGGUACUGCGGAGAAAGUUAAAAGAAGUAAAAGUAAAAUUUCUAUACUCACUAGGCAUUCUUGGAAAAACUAAAUCUAUUUUAAGAAUAGUAACAGGAAAAUUAUAAGAAAAUACUAAGAAACAAAAAUUACAGGACUGACUCAAAAUAUUAAUAAUGUUAAUAUGUAAAGUUGCUAUCUUAAUAGUUUAUAAAAAUGUUAUAAUUAUCUCAUUUUAUAAGCACAAUAAUAAAAUAACUUGCCUUUCAUCAAUAUCAUACUCCUAUCAGAUCCUGGGCGAUAAUCCUAUCUUUUCACCACCAGACUACUCUUCUUUCCAUACUUUUCUUUCAGUGAGCAACAGAGAAAGUUUAGAAAAGUUUAGGAGAAAAAUACACCUGAAAUUUGAUUACAGGAUGUAAAUGCCUUUGACCCUGAAUAUCAGAUAUGAUUUACUCUCCAGGGUUUGUUGACCUAUGGUGGGAAAUAAUCUACCAGACCUUGUGAAGAACCAGGAGAAGGGUAACAGACAUCUAGCUGCCUGUUUUAUUAAAGACUACUUCAAGGAGGAAGAAGAGUCUUCCUGAAAAUUGCCCAGAGGACCCAGUUCACAGAAGUCCCUUUGCAGGUUGACCUCUUUGUCUCCUACAUGGAAGGAAACUAUCAUCAUGUGUUCUCAAACCCCUGCUGUCACUUUGCAAGAUGUAUCUAGCAGUUAUCAAAAAAAAAAAAAAAAAAAAAAAAA